AAUUACCCGGCAGCAGGUUGUAGAGUUGGGUAAGACUAUGGAGGAGUCUUACCCAACUCUACAACCUGCUGCCGGGUACCU